AGUGAACGCUGGCGGUAGGCCUAACACAUGCAAGUCGAACGGCAGCACAGUAAGAGCUUGCUCUUACGGGUGGCGAGUGGCGGACGGGUGAGGAAUACAUCGGAAUCUACUUUUUCGUGGGGGAUAACGUAGGGAAACUUCUGCUAACACCGCAUACAACGUCGGGGUAAAAGCAGGGGAUCUUUGGACCUUGGGGGAUUGAAAGAGCCGAUGUCGGAGUAGCUAGUUGGCUGGGUAAAGGCCCACCAAGGCCACGAUGCGUAGCUGGUCUGAGAGGAUGAUCAGCCACACUGGAACUGAGACACGGUCCAGACUCCUACGGGAGGCAGCAGUGGGGAAUAUUGGACAAUGGGCGCAAGCCUGAUCCAGCCAUACCGCGUGGGUGAAGAAGGCCUUCGGGUUGUAAAGCCCUUUUGUUGGGAAAGAAAAGCAGCAGGUUAAUACCCCGCUGUUCUGACGGUACCCAAAGAAUAAGCACCGGCUAACUUCGUG
rnacentral:rRNA from 1 species